UUCACCUCCUCCAGCAGUGGGAUGUGAGCCACCAGCAAGAGAGGGCGUCAGCGAAAACCAUCCUCUAUAAGUCUCCCUCAGGAUGUCCAAACGCACACCAUCAGCUCUUACAUAUCAUCCUACAAUGUGCUCCAAGUCUCUGUUACUGGCCUUUUCCUGCCAAGCUCACCAGCCCAUCUUCAUGUUUCUAAGAAGUUUCAGCUUGGGACUUUCCUUCAGUCAAAGCAUGCUGGAAGAUGAGUGCUGAAGAAUGCCCAUUACUGUAGUUCCCUUUGGUUCUGCAAUUGAUUUAUACCAACUAUAAGCAGCCCCACCCCUUCCAGUCUAUGUCGCAUCUAAAAUAUCCGUCCUUCUUCCUCCCCCCUAUAACCAAAUGUCCCACCUUGGUUUCUCUUGGAUGGAGAUUUUCUCCACUCUAUUCCUUCAACUGUCA
rnacentral:lncRNA from 1 species